GACGAACCGUGCGAACGUUGUUCGGAUUCACUGGGCCUAAAGGGUGCGUAGGUGGCGCCAUAAGUCAGGUGUGAAAUCUCGGGGCUCAACCCCGAAACUGCAUUUGAUACUGUGGUGCUCGAGUACUGGAGAGGAGAUUGGAAUUUACGGUGUAGCAGUGAAAUGCGUAGAUAUCGUAAGGAAGACCAGUGGCGAAGGCGAAUCUCUGGACAGUUACUGACACUGAGGCACGAAGGCCAGGGGAGCAAACGGG
rnacentral:rRNA from 1 species